rnacentral:rRNA from 1 species
CGGUGUUCAACUGGCGUGCCCGCGGGACGUCCUGCCGGUGAGCUCAGCCCGCGAGGGCGGCUCAACUUGAAAUCCCAUCGCGGUGCUCUUCAUUGAGUGUCGAGGUGGGCCGGCACGAUUACUUUUGAACAAAUUAGAGUGCUUAAAGCAGGCUAAAAUUUUGCCUGAAUACUGUGUAUAUGGAAUAAUGGAAUAGGACCUCGGUUCUAUUUUGUUGGUUUUCGGAACCCCGAGGUAAUGAUUAAUAGGAACGGAUGGGGGCAUUCGUAUUGCGACGUUAGAGGUGAAAUUCUUGGAUCGUCGCAAGACGGACUAAAGCGAAAGCAUUUGCCAAAAACGCUUUCAUUGAUCAAGAACGAAAGUUAGAGGUUCGAAGGCGAUCAGAUACCGCCCUAGUUCUAACCAUAAACGAUGCCAGCUAGCGAUCCGCCGACGUCCCUCUGAUGACUCGGCGGGCAGCUUCCGGGAAACCAAAGCUUUUGGGUUCCGGGGGAAGUAUGGUUGCAAAGCUGAAACUUAAAGGAAUUGACGGAAGGGCACCACCAGGAGUGGAGCCUGCGGCUUAAUUUGACUCAACACGGGAAACCUCACCAGGCCCAGACACUGGAAGGAUUGACAGAUUGAGAGCUCUUUCUUGAUUCAGUGGGUGGUGGUGCAUGGCCGUUCUUAGUCGGUGGAGCGAUUUGUCAGGUUAAUUCCGAUAACGGACGAGACUCUGACCUGAUAACUAGACGCACUUGCGGCAUCUCAAAGGUCCGCCGGCGGCUGGCUUUGCGCCCGUCGUCGCGCGCGAUUUUUACUGCCGGCGUACAAUAAAUUCUUCUUAGAGGGACAAGUGG